rnacentral:lncRNA from 1 species
CUGCCAUCAAUAAAGAAAAUAUAGCUAUGACUGAUGAUAUCUACCAAGAGGAUGAGAUGUCGAUUUAAGCUUCAGUUGAAGCAAUAGAUGCACUUGAUGGUGUUGAUAUCCUUGUAGAUUUUAGUAUGUAUCAAAAAUUUGAAAGAAAUAAGUUAAGAGAGUUGCAACAAUAGACAGUAAAAUUGGAACAAGAGUAUGAUGAGAAAGAUAG